AGCUCCAAUAGCGUAUAUUAAAGUUGUUGCAGUUAAAAAGCUCGUAGUUGGAUUUCUGGCAGGGGACAAGAGACCGCUUGCAGCGUGUGCUCGCUGCCCCCUACCAUCCUUCUGUUAACGUGCCAGGACAUUCGCUUGUCGGGCACGGGCUCAGAUAAUUUACCUUGAGAAAAUUAGAGUGUUUCAGGCAGGCUGACGCCGGGAUACAUUAGCAUGGAAUAAUGGAAUAGGACUUUCGCCUCUUCUGUUGGUCUGAGGGGAGAUUGUAAUGAUUAAUAGGGAUAGUUGGGGGCAUUAGUACUUAACUGUCAGAGGUGAAAUUCUCGGAUUUGUUAAAGACUAACUUAUGCGAAAGCAUUUGCCAAGGAUGUUU
rnacentral:rRNA from 1 species